CUGAUGACGUGGUGUUACUGGCCUCCACCAGGAUAGGCUUAGAGGCAAGCCUGCGAGCGAUGACAUCUGCCGCGGCUGCCUUGGGCCUCGAGGUGGGGCCCUCCAAGUGCGCCUCCGUGGGGGUAGUGGCGGAUGGUAAGAACAAGACCUGGUUCCAAGACAAAAUAAGGCUCCAUGCUGGAGGCGAGGAGAUUCGGUCCUUAGGCCCAGAGGACUUUUUAUAAGUACCUGGGUUCACGGGUGGGCGCCGCCUGGGCGAGCGGUCCGUCCCACCUGUUGGGCCAGCUCAUCGCUAAGCUGGGGCGACUCCAACGAGCCCCAGCCAAACCCCAGCAAAAGCACUGGGGCCUGGCCAGUGUACUUUUACCUCAGAUGUUGUACCCUCUGCUACACUCAAGGGCAAAUAAGGGGGCUUUAAAAAGGAUGGAUGUGGAGAUUCGGAAGUUCGUCCGAAUCGCCCUCCAUCUGCCGCAUGAUACCCCAUUGGGGUACUUUCAUGCGGCCGGCGUGGAUGGCGGGCUUGGAGUAACAGCUCUCGAGUCUCGCAUCCCCCGAUUAAAGCAUGACCUUCUAGCCCGCCUCAGGCAGUCCCAUGACCCUGCGGUGAGGGCGGUAGCAGAAGUGCAAGUCAGCUCGACGACGCCUCUACUCCAUCAGGGAGGAAGAGAGAAGAGAGGAGUCGCUGGUCCGAGAACCUUUACGGUUCUGUUGACGGUCGGGGGCUGCGAGGAGCCACUCAAACACCGGUAUCCGCAGCCUUCCUGGACGGAUCUGCCCUGAUGAAGGGCGGGAUUUAUUCGAAGGCGGUGAGGCUUAGAGGAGCCUUGCUGCCUACGAAAUCCCGUUCGGCUAGGGGCAGACUGGAGCCCGACGUCAUGUGCGACCUCUGCUUCGGCCGAAGGGUUCAUUCCCUCGGGCACAUUUUACAGCAGUGCCCGGCCGUUGCAGGGGCUAGAACCCUACGCCACAACACCAUUCUAGAUGGCGCCGUCCAGGCCCUCCAGCAGUCUGGGUAUCGGGUGCUAAAAGAGCACCCCAUCCCUACUCCAGCUGGGUUGAGAUACCCAGAUAUUGUAUGCUGGAGGGGUAAUCGCUCGUGGGUAAUUGACGUGCAGGUUGUUGCAGACAGCGCCGCCGCGGACCUGCACGUGGCCCACGAGCGUAAAGUGUCUUAUUACAAUGUGGCGGCUGUGACGGAAAAGGUCAAAGAGUGCUCUGGGUACCCCCCCGUAGUCAGUUCGCUCACGCUGUCGUGGCGGGGGGUGGUAGCCCCAGCCUCUGCGAACACGUGGAGCGCGUUGGGGCUAAGCAAAGCCGCGUUGAAGCUCGCGGUGGUCCGGGCCCUCGAAGGCGGGGUCCGGAUUUACCAGGCACAUAGAAACACAGCAGGUGCACCCGUGGCAAGGGGUGCUCCAUAAAGGGUCGCACCCUGUGCAAAACAUUAAAGGCAAAAGUGGAAGUUGAGAUCAGGAUUGUGAAGUGAUGUGUAAAGAACGGUUAGAGAUGGGAUGUGCCUAAGAAUGGUGCACACAGCCAAUAAUGACACCCUACUUUCCCCGUGUUCUCCUGCCUCGUGUAUGUGUGGUGGAGGGUUGUUUGGUUGAUGUUUUGGUGCGUGUCAGUAUUUAUGAUGAUGUAUAUGUAUAUGGUUGUUAAAUAAACGGCGAGGCAUGGGUUGACGUGGGGAGGCUUUAAGAAAGAGGAGGGGGCUACGGCCCUCUCCUCUUUUAUUAAUAUAGGUGGUCAUCAAAUAGCCAAAUGCCUCGUCAUCUAAUUAGUGACGCGCAUGAAUGGAUUAACGAGAUUCCCACUGUCCCUAUCUACUAUCUAGCGAACCCACAGGCAGGGGAACGGGCCUGCGCCUAACAGCGGGGAAAGAAGACCCUGUUGAGCUUGACUCUAGUCUGAUUUUGUAGAGAGACAUCAGAGGUGUAGCAUAAGUGGGAGGUCGUCACAUCAGGGGCUUGCUCCGUGCGGCCGACAAUGAAAUACCACUACUCUGAUCGUUUCUUUACUUACUCGGUGAGACGGAAUCGGAGCUUCCCCACGUGGGAUUGCCUCCUGUUUCUAGCCUAAAGCGGCGGAAGGGAGGGCGCGCUUGGUUUCGGCCUUGCGUUAGCCUGACCGGGCGUUCGCGCCCGCCGCGAUCCGCUCCGAGGACAUUAUCAGGUGGGGAGUUUGACUGGGGCGGUACAUCUGUCAAACGAUAACGCAGGUGUCCUAAGGCCAGCUCAGCGUGGACAGAAACCUCGCGUAGAGCAAAAGGGCAAAUGCUGGCUUGAUCCUGAUUUUCAGUACGAAUACGGACUGCGAAAGCAGGGCCUAUCGAUCCUUUUGACUUUAUGAGUUUUAAGCAAGAGGUGUCAGAAAAGUUACCACAGGGAUAACUGGCUUGUGGCGGCCAAGCGUUCAUAGCGACGUCGCUUUUUGAUCCUUCGAUGUCGGCUCUUCCUAUCAUUGUGAAGCAGAAUUCACCAAGCGUUGGAUUGUUCACCCAUAAAAAGGGAACGUGAGCUGGGUUUAGACCGUCGCGAGACAGGUUAGUUUUACCCUGUUGGCAGUUGUGUCGUUGAUACAGCAGUCCUGCUCAGUACGAGAGGAACGGCAGGUCCGGACAUAUGGUUCCGCUCUUGGUCGAUCGGCCAGUGGAGCGAGGCUACGUCCGUGGGAUUAUGCCUGAAAGCCUCUAAGGCAGAAUCCCGGCUGGAUGACCAACGAUACCGCGUACGGCCUGCAUCGGGAUGGUCACCAUUGAAUUUUCGAGAGAUUCGCUCCCCGCUCGUUCGCGGGCGGGGCUAGAAGAUGGACCCGUGCAGAGGGAACUCGGGAGUGCCUCGACAAACAGGUUCAGGCUCCCCCUCCCUAGUAGAGAACACCCAGAUGC
rnacentral:rRNA from 1 species